AAACCUUGAUGAUGAGUUGCAUGUGAGUCCGUGUUUCACCUGAACCUGAUGAUUAUUCUUUCACUGCACUGAUGGGUUU
ensembl:snoRNA